AUCUGGGCGGCGGAAUUCAAGAUGGCGGGGCGUGCUCGCGCGCGCCCGGUCGUUUGAUAUUUCCGUCGCCAGUGUAACACACACAGACGUCGCGACCUGUUUGUCGUCGGUCCCUGCUCGGAGGAAUCGCGUUCGAGUUCGUUGUGGGUGGCGUUUCAGCGUGACCACACGGCGAAGGCGCGAACUUCUGGCCGACGAUGGACAGUAUGCUUCAAACGGUGUUCGGUGUCGUCGUCUCGCACGCGCGGCACCGGUACCGGUCGGCGACGAAUUCUUCGGGCCUCUUUCCGACCCGUCUUGAAACACGGACCAAGGAGUCUAAUGUGCGCGCGAGUCGCGGGGUGUCGAGCGUACUACGGUGCGCUCGUUACGUUGCGAAACCCGUACACGUUGAAGGCGUAAUGAAAGUGAAUUGGGAAGAUGGCGUUUCGAGUUCACGUUCCGCAGGAUCAUUGGUAUCGCGGGCGAACGCCCGCACUCCCAGGGCGUCUCAACGGCCCGUCGCGGAUGCGGAUAGUCGUCUCUCGGAGCGGGUGUCGGUCUGCGACGAACCGA
rnacentral:rRNA from 1 species